rnacentral:rRNA from 1 species
ACAGAGGGUGCAAACGUUGUUCGGAAUUACUGGGCGUAAAGCGCGUGUAGGCUGCUCCGAAAGUCGGAUGUGAAAGCCCUGGGCUCAACCUAGGAAGUGCACUCGAAACUUCGGAGCUGGAGUCCUGGAGAGGAAGGCGGAAUUCUCGGUGUAGAGGUGAAAUUCGUAGAUAUCGAGAGGAACACCGGUGGCGAAGGCGGCAUUCUGGACCAAUACUGACGCUGAGGAGCGAAAGCCAGGGGAGCAAACGGGA